GUUAGAUGGGACUAUGUCUAAGGAAGCAGCAGGCGCGCAAAUCACAGCACUUUAACUCGAAGAUGUAGUGAAAAAACGUGCUAACAAAUUGUGUUUUCACACUGUUUGAUUAGAAUGAAUCAGAUUUUGAUAAUCUGGUGAAUUUAUUUGAAGGACAAGUCUGGUGCCAGCAGCCGCGGUAAUUCCAGCUUCAAGGGUGUAUAUUAAUGUUGUUGCAGUUAAAACGUUCGUAGUUAUUAAGCAUAUGUUUUUAUUCUAAUUUAACAGUUGGAGUUAAAAACAGUACAGCUGAUCUAACACUCGUUUGGGCUGUGAUCCUUUGGUGAAAGAUUAAAGGUUACCUUUGACAAUAAUCUUUUUAAACAUAGCAUAAGUGCUUCAACAUUUGCACAUUUUAGCUUAUUUGUUAUAUGUGCGUUUGUUGUACCUAGUUGGAUAUCCAGGUGAGGAUUUUGAACUUAGUUGUUAGAGGUGAAGUUCUAGAAUCAACUAAUGGCAAACAAAGGCGAAAGCAAUUUUCUUUGGGGUGUUUAGCAAUAAAGAACGGAAGUUAGGGGUUCAAAGAUGAUUAGAUACCGUUGUAGUCUUAACUGUAAACAAUGCCUAUAAUGAAAUUGCGAGGUAUAUAUCUUGUAAUUUUAAUAAAGAAAUUGUAAUAAGAGGCUCUGGGGGGGAGUAUAAUCGCAAGAUUGAAACUUAAAGGAAUUGACGGAAAGGCACCACCAGGAGUGGAAUGUGCGGCUUAUUUUGACUCAACGCGGAGUAAUACACCAUAUUGAGACACGUGAAGGAUUGACGGAUAAAAUGUUCUUUCUUAUUUAUGUGGAUGGUGUGCAUGGCCGUUCUUAGUUGUGGAGUGAUCUGUCUGGUUAAUUCCGUUAACGAACGAGUUUUAGCUCUCUUAUAAGGUGCUUUUGUUUCCUUAUGAGAGCGAGUUGUAUGUUGAUGUAAAGACAAGAUGAUACAGUCUGUGAUGCCAUUGAUAUGGUGGGUUGCACGCGCCAUACAUGUAGCUCAUUUUAUUGAUCUGUUUCCGAAGUGGCAUACUAGAUAAAUGCUUACAUCUCGUAUAACUGUGUAACUUCAUUUCACCGAAGGAUCCUCUGUAAAAUGCGGAUA
rnacentral:rRNA from 1 species